AGCCGGGCUAUCCGAGAGCACCAACGCGGAGAGGACGACGAGACGAACUCACCGGUGGUGACGGUGACGAGAAUCGAUGACGGAAAACGGCCGGCGACCGUAGGUGACGAUGGGAGCAACGGAGGUGUGGACGGGCUUCGUCUUGGCGCUGUGAUGCCGAGGAAGGCAACGGCGAAGCUUGGCGUUGACGGAAACAACGGUGGUGUUCGGCCGGAGGCGGAGUAGAUCGGAUUCAAAGUGACGAAGGGCUUCCGGCGAGUUUCGGCGCAAGGUAACCAGCGGCCGGGAUGGAGAUCAGCCUUUCGGAGCCGAGGGAAGUGGCAGCGCAGAAGGGCGUCGGCUGGAACGGCUGCCGGUGGCGGAGACAGAAGGCGACCGCGGGUAGGGCGCUACAGGCAACAGCGAUGGCUGGGACUUGAGGCAAACGAAAGAGGAGAGGAAGGGGACUCUAUUUAUAGCCACGGGAGAGAGAGAUCGGGCUUGGAACGCAAGGAAUCACGCCGGGAAAACCUAGGGUUUGGCGGAGAGAUAAACUCGAAAACGAAUCCAAAUUCGCGUCGUAUUCAAGGGGAUAAAAUCGGAUUUUAGAGGCAAGUGCAACGCCUGCUGCAAGCAGCUCGGCUUCCUGGCGGCAAGUGCAACCUCCUCCGCGGCAUGCUCUGCCUCUGCUGCCACGAGGACGACGACCAGCCGCCGCCCUCCUCCUCCACUCACCUCCCCGUCGCCGCCAUCGAUCACGAUCACGCUGCCGACAUGCCAUGAUCAUCUCGUCCAUCUAUAUAUAUUGCAUUAUUACUCAUUUGCUCGCGUCCAUGAGCCACCGGAUGUGAUGUGAGCAAUUAAUAAUAAUAAUCAUGGAUUACUGAUGCUUUUUUUCUGCUCUGCUGCAAAUGAUUUUUUUUUUCUGCUCUGCUGCAAAUAUGAUUUUUGAGAUACAAUGAACAACACAUCAGGCAGGCGUGCAAUGAGAUGGAACUAGUUGAAU
rnacentral:sRNA from 1 species